UUCGUCGCCAGAGCAUAGCAUUCGGCGAAGCGUGCUAGCAGCAGCGGCGAGUAAUUGGGAGAGGCAUGAAUCACAUCGCCCCGCAGCGGGGAGCUGGCUCUCGGAUGAUGGUGGAUUCCCUCAUAAUUCCGGGGGCAAUAAUGGAACGCGACCGGAUGGUUGUACUUGGCAUCGUCGGCGUCUGAUGAGUGCUGCCGGAAAGCUUGAGGGCUUUAAGCUAGGUGGCCACCAUCUUUUUCCUGUGGGUUACGUUACGUUACGCAGCGCACGGGCGGGCACAAGCACAUGCUUAGUGGCGGGGAGGGGAGGCCGGCCGCCUAUGGCCGCCGGGAUUAGUGGAGCGGAGAGGCCACGCAACGGCGCGGCCCUACAGCCACCCCGCGCCCUGCUUUGCCUUGCUUUGCUUCGUGGCCAAUGGCCUCGGGCGCUCGGCAGAUUCCUCUCUAUCCCAUGGCUUGUUCCUGCGCCCGGUCCUUUUCUCUCCUACGCCGCUGCUGCGUCUGCCGUCUGC
rnacentral:lncRNA from 1 species